CGCAGCCGCGGUAAUUCCAGCUCCAAUAGCGUAUAUUAAAGUUGUUGCAGUUAAAAAGCUCAUAGUUGAAUUUCGGGAUCAAUAAUGCUGGUCGUGCCAUUGGUACGUACUAGUAUUGUUGGUUUCUUCCUUCUGAUGAAUCAUGGUGUCAUUAAUUUGAUGUCAUAGGGAAUCAGGACUGUUACUUUGAAAAAAUUGAGUGUUUAAAGCAGGCUCGCGCUUGAAUACAUUAGCAUGGAAUAAUAAAAUAGGACGUUUGAUUCUAUUUUGUUGGUUUCUAGGAUUGACGUAAUGAUUAAUAGGGAUAGUUGGGGGCAUUAGUAUUCAAUUGUCAGAGGUGAAAUUCUUGGAUUUAUUGAAGACUAACUACUGCGAAAGCAUUUGCCAAGGAUGUUUUCAUUAAUCAAGAACGAAAGUUAGGGGAUCGA
rnacentral:rRNA from 1 species